rnacentral:ncRNA from 2 species
GGCGAUCCGUUGGGGUGCUGAAAGGCUGAGAGGUGCUAAAGGCGCCAACCCAUCGAACCUGAUCCGGAUAAUGCCGGCGAAGGGAACGGUCAUCGGCAUGUC